AUUAAACGCUGGCGGCAUGCCUUACACAUGCAAGUCGAACGGCAGCACGGGGGCAACCCUGGUGGCGAGUGGCGGACGGGUGAGUAAAGCAUCGGAACGUAUCCUGGAGUGGGGGAGUAACGUAGCGAAAGUUACGCUAAUACCGCAUAUUCUGUGAGCAGGAAAGCAGGGGAUCGCAAGACCUUGCGCUCUGGGAGCGGCCGAUGUCGGAUUAGCUAGUUGGUGGGGUAAAGGCCUACCAAGGCGACGAUCCGUAGCGGGUCUGAGAGGAUGAUCCGCCACACUGGGACUGAGACACGGCCCAGACUCCUACGGGAGGCAGCAGUGGGGAAUAUUGGACAAUGGGGGAAACCCGUAGAUCCACGCCACUUCCGCCGUGAGUGAAGAAGG
rnacentral:rRNA from 1 species